rnacentral:lncRNA from 1 species
CCCAGACCUCAGCAUUGAGGCUCCAUCGUCUAUCAAAAACAUUCUGCGGCAGAGUGGUCCACACUGCUGCCUGGUGGAUGGCGAGGUUCUCAUCCUCACAGGGGAUCAAGCGGAGAUACAGAUAGUGAGAUUUCAGAAUCAGAGCAUGAGUAGAAGGAGAACUCACCUGCUUUCUCAGGACUUGGAAUCCCACGCUCCACACAAGAGGCUUUAGGGCAGGUCUCCUGCCUGGUGCUCCCCAAGCAGCCCCGUCCCACAUCUGCACCUCUCUGUGCAGUUGUACACGCCCCAGACCCAAGAUGCCAAGACACCCAUCUGCUCAACUGCCUCCCUUCAACAGGGCUUCCAUAAGUUCCCACCAAGGAACUCUUGGGCUUACUCCUGAAUGCUGGGGGUUCCCACCCUGUCUUGAAAGAGGGGAAUUUGGGCUUCCUACCUUGGCGAGUUGCUCUCCCAGGCCCCGGGGCACUUCCCGCUCCUUCUCAUUGUCAAGUUUAUUGCCCAGCAGCAGAACAGGAAUUCGGUCUCCCACAGCUUCCUGCAGAACAGAUCAUCCCUCCACUGAGAGAAGCCCACCUGGAUGAAGCCAGAUAGUAGGCUCACAGGGCUGCCUGGAAAGAUCCAGGCUCAUGUGAGAGUUAGCCCAGUAAGGAGAGCAAGAUCGCUGUCACUAGAGAGUCCAUCUCUGUUUCGCCCCACCCUCACCCAUGCAAUGGCCCUUUCUCCACCCUCUUUGGCUCUUGUAGAAAGCACAUUGAUUUCCCACCUGUGCUGAGGAGGAGCUGGCAGGGCUAUGAACAGUAAGGACGCCAAGAGGGCUGUGGACCCCAAGGGACUGUGCAUUCUUCCCAUGACUUUCAGUACCACUGAGAGACUUGCUAAGUGACCAGAGCCAGUCUAAACCUCAGAAAUCAGUCAGUGGAGGCUAGAGGGACUCUCUGGCUCCUUGGAUGAGAAAUGAUAUCUUGAGCUUCUGUGACACGUGAGCUCCCUGGGGGUGGGGAUGGGGGGCAUCUGAAUCUGAGCCAUGGGACUGGGCCAAAGAGCUCCUAAGUGGCUGCUGUGAGCCUAAUUGGGGGCAAGCGCUGUGGAGACUCAUGUCACUUGGACUCCCAAGAAGGCCCAGCUUAAGGAAGAGCUAUGCACCUUGGCAGCUCUACUUCUCUGGCCAGAAGUGAUGACUUCGUGCAAGGUGACAACCACAUGAUCUCUUAUGGUGGGUGUAGGAUAUUCGCCAUAUCCUGGGGACUCUACCCUACCUGCACAAAGGGUUGCUAACGUAUACGUACUCAAUGGCAGAACAACGGUCCCGAGACUCACAGCCAUGCAGUAAGUAUGGUAGCAUUCACGUUUAAGGAGGUUGUUAUUUUUACUUUGUGGAAUAUUUAAUUAGGGGCUUUUAAUCAUAAUUUGGUAACGAAUAGUUAUUCACUGGAGCUGAGCGUUUUGCUGAACAGAGGGGCUGUGGAAUAGUCGAUACUUAUGAGCCUAAGUUACGGCUUCACCACAACCUCCCACUGCUUUGUCCCAGCAUCUCAGGCAAAUGGCCAAAGUCCUUCUGAUCGGAACACCUGUUUUAAAGUUUAAAUGCAAUUACCUCUGAAAUUAAAUCCUCCAAGUCUUUUUAAUCCACACAUUCGUUUUUACUGCAGCUCCGUAGGGGAAAGUAAUUCUCAUUUGCUAAAUGGGGACGCCAGGCUCAGGGGGCCACAGUGGGACAUCUGGCCACAAAGUGAGAGAGAUGAAGGCCACUUAGCACACGGGUCCGUCAUUCUCUGACCUUUUUGUCCAGACUCACAUUUCUAGGAACACUCUGCUCCUCAGAAAGUUACUAAAUAGAACACUCUAAAAAUGGCACCCGCUGGGAAGAGAGUAAUUUAUGUUCACAAUGAUGUCUCCUGUCUUCUGACCCACCAGAAUAAAUUAAAUCACAUGGGUAGUUGAUAAGUAAAUUAUAUCAUCGUUCACUUAUUCCAAAGUGUGAAACCCAGUUAACAGCAAAUACAGGCUGCUGGUAUCCCUAUUAGCUGAGUGUUAGUUAAUGGGAAUGCCCCAAUCCCUCCUGUGACAGCUCAGGCAACAGAAUACUUAUGCAAAGAGCUUUCCUCAGAAAAGGAAGGAGAGAGGAGGAUGCAGGGAACUGGGCCAAAAGACUUGCUGUUUAGAGCACACGAGAAAGAUAUAUUUGUAGACCUAUGUGUGAGGAAUGACUAAGGUCUGUGGGAUUUUCUUGACAUGGAAACUCUGAAAAUAUGAGCAUCGGUGCUGGGAUCUUGGGACAGAACUCCGACUCCGGUUUUAUCAGUCGGUGGAAUGGGUCAUGGCGGC